AAGCUUGCUUCUAAUAAAUAGCGGCGGACGGGUGAGUAACACGUGGGUAACCUGCCUUACACAAAGGAAUAACAAUGAGAAAUCAUUGCUAAAACCUUAUAAGCUCCCGACACCGCAAGAUGAUGGGAGAAAAUAUUUAUAGGUGUAAGAGGGGCCCGCGUCUGAUUAGCUAGUUGGUAAGGUAACGGCCUACCAAGGCAACGAUCACUAUCCGACCUGAGAGGGUGACCGGCCACAUUGGGACUGAGACACGGCCCAAACUCCUACGGGAGGCAGCAGUGGGGAAUAUUGCACAAUGGGGGAAACCCUGAUGCAGCAACGCCGCGUGAAGGAUGAAGGCUUUCGAGUUGUAAACUUCUAUCAACGGGGAAGAAAAAAAUGACGGUACCCGAAUAAGAAGCCCCGGCUAACUACAUGCCAGCAGCCGCGGUAAUACGUAUGGGGCAAGCGUUAUCCGGAAUUACUGGGUGUAAAGGGUGAGUAGGCGGUAAGGUAAGUCAUAUGUGAAAGCCCAGGGCUUAACCCUGGGAUUGCAUAAGAAACUGCCAGACUAGAGUACAGGAGAGGUAAACGGAAUUCCUAGUGUAGCGGUGAAAUGCGUAUAUAUU
rnacentral:rRNA from 1 species